rnacentral:tRNA from 1 species
GCGCGCAUAGCUCAGUGGUAGAGCGGUAUACUUAUAAUAUACAGGUCCCUGGCUCGAUCCCAGGUGCGCGCA